rnacentral:rRNA from 1 species
UACGAAGGGUGCAAGCGUUAAUCGGAAUUACUGGGCGUAAAGCGUGCGUAGGCGGUGAGUUAAGUCUGUCGUGAAAUCCCCGGGCUCAACCUGGGAAUGGCGAUGGAUACUGGCUCGCUAGAGUGUGAUAGAGGAUGGUGGAAUUCCCGGUGUAGCGGUGAAAUGCGUAGAUAUCGUAAGGAAGACCAGUGGCGAAGGCGGGUCUCUGGACAGUUCCUGACGCUGAGGCACGAAGGCCAGGGGAGCAAACGGG